rnacentral:rRNA from 1 species
AGCGGCGGACGGGUGAGUAACGCGUGGGUAACCUGCCUCAUACAGGGGGAUAACAGUUGGAAACGGCUGCUAAUACCGCAUAAGCGCACAGUACCGCAUGGUACGGUGUGAAAAACUCCGGUGGUAUGAGAUGGACCCGCGUCUGAUUAGGUAGUUGGUGGGCUAACGGCCUACCAAGCCGACGAUCAGUAGCCGACCUGAGAGGGUGACCGGCCACAUUGGGACUGAGACACGGCCCAA